rnacentral:rRNA from 1 species
CCCCCCUCGAGAUGAGAUUUCCCAACUUCGGUUAUAAGAUCCCUCAAAGAUGAUGAGGUGAAUAGGUUCGAGGUGGAAGCGUAGUGAUACGUGGAGCUGACGAAUACUAAUCGAUCGAAGACUUAAUCAA